GACGAACGCUGGCGGCGUGCUUAACACAUGCAAGUCGAACGGUGAAGCGCCUUCCUUUUUGGUGGGUGUGGAUGAGUGGCGAACGGGUGAGUAACACGUGAGUAACCUGCCCCCUUCUUCUGGAUAACCGCAUGAAAGUGUGGCUAAUACGGGAUAUUCUGGGUCUGUCGCAUGAUGGGUCUGGGAAAGAUAUUGUUUCGGUGGGGGAUGGGCUCGCGGCCUAUCAGCUUGUUGGUGGGGUGAUGGCCUACCAAGGCGGUGACGGGUAGCCGGCCUGGGAGGGUGGACGGUCACACGGGGACUGAGACACGGCCCAGACUCCUACGGGAGGCAGCAGUGGGGAAUAUUGCACAAUGGGCGCAAGCCUGAUGCAGCGACGCCGCGUGAGGGAUGGAGGCCUUCGGGUUGUGAACCUCUUUCGCCAGUGAAGCAGGCCUGCCUCGUUUGUGGGUGGGUUGACGGUAGCUGGAUAAGAAGCGCCGGCUAACUACGUG
rnacentral:rRNA from 1 species